GCCAGCAUGGUGUAGUGGUUUGAGCACUGGACUACAAUUCUGAAGAUCAGGGUUCGGUUCCCUGUUGUUGUUA